UGCGGGCAUUAUCAGAGGCCAAGUGAGCAGGAGUGCGCUGCACAGGGGAGCCAGGGGGGAACAAGGGCAAGCUCAAACAACUGCCAGCCAGGUGGGGAUCCUGCCUCCUCUGGGUCUGACAUCACUAUCCACCGCCCUAAAUGGCUGCCUUCAAAGAGGAACCCUAGCAAGCUCAAAUGGCAGAAAUUUUCCAGCUCUUUGGAAGCUUUUCCCGUUCACCAUGUUCUCAGAGCAAAAGGUACCCAAGUCAUGGUGGGGUGACCAUAUAUGACCCUGAUGGUUGCCAAUAUUAUGUGGCAGCAGAAUCACUACAUAAUGCCAACAGGACAAAGAUAAGAUCAUAUGUUAAGGUCCCAGAGCAGUGGUCAGACUCAACAAUGAAGGCUGGCCUUUAAUGAAGAGAUUCCAGGGAACUUUCCUUGAAAUCACCAUCAGGAUCUCCAUAUGAUUCUAGGACUGCCACAUCUGCAUACGCACACGCCAUGGGGCUGGGUUUUGGGCUGCUGUGUUAUGGUCUGAAACAAACAUACGGCAUACAGGAACAGCGUUAUGCAACUCCAGAGAUGGUCAGGUCUGACGGCAGCCUCAAGCAUUCCUUCCCUGCGCUGCUCCUCGCCAGAUGCAGUUCCAAAAAAAGUCAACAGGUCCCAUUCAACAGAGCAUCCCCUCCUGUUUAAAGCGGCAGCCUGUUCAAAAAGUACUCAGCGCAGAAAUCAACGUUUGUCAAAGGCGUGUCUACUUUAUGGGAAAACUGACCAUAAGAUCCCCAGUCUGGCAGGAAAACAAGUUGAAACUGCAGAAGCCUUGGCAUCUGGAAGCUACCCAGGAGGCAGAGUUUGUGUGUGGCAACGACUUGUGAACCACCAAGCAUACACAAUGGUGAACAGCUCCAAAACUGGAUCAAAUAUUGUGUCUCAACCACUUGCGGAUUAUAAAAAAGGAGAGGAUCUCUCCGAGUAUCUCAGCAGCAUAAAUAUAAACACCACAUCAUCUACGGGUUUCACAAUAAUGGGAAUUUGGAAACAAACACAAAAAUUGCUGACAGGCACAAUGCUAAUGAAUCCACAAUAAAUUUUCAAUGAAAACUUGACGAG